UACGAAGGGGGGCUAGCGUUGCUCGGAAUCACUGGGCGUAAAGCGCACGUAGGCGGAUUGUUAAGUCAGGGGUGAAAUCCUGGAGCUCAACUCCAGAACUGCCUUCGAUACUGGCGAUCUUGAGUCCGGGAGAGGUGAGUGGAACUCCGAGUGUAGAGGUGAAAUUCGUAGAUAUUCGGAAGAACACCAGUGGCGAAGGCGGCUCACUGGCCCGGUACUGACGCUGAGGUGCGAAAGCGUGGGGAGCAAACAGG
rnacentral:rRNA from 1 species